rnacentral:rRNA from 1 species
UACGGAGGGUGCGAGCGUUGUCCGGAAUCACUGGGCGUAAAGGCGCGUAGGUGGCCUGUGGAAGUCUGCGGUGAAAGCCCGGCGCUCAACCGCCGGGUCUGCCGUGGAUACUCUCGGGCUCGAGCUUACUAGAGGCAGAUGGAAUUCCGGGUGUAGCGGUGGAAUGCGUAGAGAUCCGGAAGAACACCGGUGGCGGAAGGCGGUCUGCUGGGCGAGUUGCUGACACCUGAGGC